GACGAACGCUGGCGGCGUGCUUAACACAUGCCAGUCGAACGGAAAGGCCCUGCUUUUGUGGGGUGCUCGAGUGGCGAACGGGUGAGUAACACGUGAGUAACCUGCCCUUGACUUUGGGAUAACUUCAGGAAACUGGGGCUAAUACCGGAUAGGAGCUCCUGCUGCAUGGUGGGGGUUGGAAAGUUUCGGCGGUUGGGGAUGGACUCGCGGCUUGUCAGCUGGUUGGGGGGGUAUGGGCUUACCAAGGCUUUGACGGGUAGCCGGCUGGGGAGGGGGACCGGCACAAUUGGGACUGGGAUAGGGCCAAGACUCCUACGGAAGGCAGAAGGGGGGAAUAUUGCACAAUGGGCGGAGGCCGGAGGCAGCAACCCGGCGUGCGGGAUGACGGCCUUCGGGUUGUAAACCGUUUUCGCCUGUGACGAAGCGUGAGUGACGGUAAUGAGUAAAGAAGCACCGGCUAACUACGUG
rnacentral:rRNA from 1 species